UACGUAGGGGGCGAGCGUUGUCCGGAUUUAUUGGGCGUAAAGAGCUCGUAGGCGGUCUGUCGCGUCGGCUGUGAAAACUCGGGGCUCAACCCCGAGCCUGCAGUCGAUACGGGCAGACUAGAGUGCUGUAGGGGAGACUGGAAUUCCUGGUGUAGCGGUGAAAUGCGCAGAUAUCAGGAGGAACACCGGUGGCGAAGGCGGGUCUCUGGGCAGUAACUGACGCUGAGGAGCGAAAGCGUGGGGAGCGAACAGG
rnacentral:rRNA from 1 species